rnacentral:rRNA from 1 species
CCUACGGGAGGCAGCAGUUGGGAAUCUUGGACAAUGGGGGAAACCCUGAUCCAGCCAUGCCGCGUGAGUGAUGAAGGCCUUCGGGUUGUAAAACUCUUUCGACGGGGACGAUAAUGACGGUACCCGUAGAAGAAGCUCCGGCUAACUUCGUGCCAGCAGCCGCGGUAAUACGAAGGGGGCUAGCGUUGUUCGGAAUUACUGGGCGUAAAGCGCGCGCAGGCGGUCUUCCAAGUCAGUGGUGAAAGCCCGGAGCUCAACUCCGGAACUGCCAUUGAAACUGUAAGACUUGAGGACGAGAGAGGUGAGUGGAAUUCCCAGUGUAGAGGUGAAAUUCGUAGAUAUUGGGAAGAACACCGGUGGCGAAGGCGGCUCACUGGCUCGUAUCUGACGCUCAGGCGCGACAGCGUGGGGAUCAAACAGGAUUAGAUACCCUGGUAGUCCACGCCGUAAACGAUGAAUGCUAGCCGUUGGGUAGCUUGCUAUUCAGUGGCGCAGCUAGCGCAUAAGUCGUUCCGUCCGUCGGGUAGGUACGGCCGGCGAACGGUUAGUAACGUACAAACGUAAGUAGUACGGACGCGAGACGUACGCGACGACGACGACGACGGAGGAGGAGG